UCUUUGGUCGUUUAGCAACGUUAUUUUGGAUUAAUAUAACUGUUAAACGCCUAAGGU
rnacentral:pre_miRNA from 1 species